rnacentral:tRNA from 1 species
GGAGGGGUGCGUGAGCGGUUGAAACGGACAGUCUCGAAAACUGUUAGGCGGCAACCCCGCCUCCGGGGUUCGAAUCCCCGCCCCUCCGCCA